rnacentral:lncRNA from 1 species
GGGAGGCACGCAUGCGCAAGGCUUGAAUGGCGUCGGGGUUGGAGGGUUGGAAGGUCGGGAAGUGAAGGACUCGCAGGCAUAUUUAACAACGCAAAGUUGCUAGGAGUUGGUACCAGCGUUUGGGAGGUAGAGGUGGCGCUCAUGCAUAUUUGAGACAACAUCUGGAUGGUUGGGGAGAACGGUGAUGCCACACUCAAUCAGAAACUAUGCUACUGCUGAAGAGGUAUAUUGAGCCCUGCCUGGUUAACCUCCAGUGAGGUUAUUAGAGAAUUGGGAGAGGCUCAAAUCAGCAUCCUGCACCUAGUUAUCAAACCAUUGUGAAGUCUUGAUUCCUGGAUGGCCAGAAAACUUGUCAUUGGUCAAGAGCAACAUUAAGAUCUGCCUGUUACUCAUACUGAUGCUUCCUGCCCAGCAAGUUCAUCAGAGGGCGAGGAUGAAUUACGGUUGCCAUGAAUGUCCUUGUGAGGCAGUUGGGAAGCCUUGGCUGGAUUGUGAAGGAUAUUUGAAAAGUAUUUUAGAGUCCACCAGAUCAUCCAUGUGAGUGACCAUGCAGCAAAAGAAGGAGGGUCCUCUCAGUGAUUAAGGAUUAUGAAGUAUUAAUUCUUCCACUGAUAUCUCAAAAGGUGAUCUGGACAAAGGAACAGGUAUCUCAGCUUCCAAGUUUGCUGGAGCCAUGUUUUCUCUAAUGUCCCCACAGAACAGUGGUUGGUAGGAUGGCGGAGACAUGGACUUCAGAGAGUUCUUGGUAGAAGACUCAAAGAGCCACCUGUCAUGAGACAUCCCACUUCCUUCCCCAGGUUACUUCCAAGACUGAGCAGCCAGGUUUUUGGUAGAUGAGAACAAAUGUUUCUUCCUGAAGCCCUGGGGCUUCAGGUAGGAAGAAGGACUGCUAUACUUGUUCUCACCCUUGGCUUCUGGCUGCUCCAGUUAAACAUGGUUCCCAUUGAUACAGACAUUAGAGUGGGAAAGGACUUCGUUCAUAGACCGAAGACCCUCAAAGGAAAGUCCUUCCAUUUUGGGAAGGGUGACAUUGAUUUCGUUUAGCUGCUUAAGAUAUGUACUUGCUGUUGUCUUGUGAGACAUGACAUCUGAAGCUGAAGAGGAGUCCCUCUCAUUGUUGUCAUUGUCCCACCGGGACUGAAAGUCUCCCAGUUGAGGCAGCAUUUUAGCUUUGAUGUCUACAGGGCAAUCAUGGAUCAGGAAAUUUCUGCAAAUUAGACUUGGAAAACAAGGUCUUGAUCCUUCUUGUCUUUGGACGAAGACUAAUCAUCACUUUUGACUGAAGGUGUAGUGCUGGAGACUAUGUUGGAGGCAGCACCUGAUGCACUAUCCAUAUUCUUCCCCUUGAUCUUGUCUUAAAGUUUUCCAAAUGGAUUCCGAGGCUUGUCUUUGAUGAAAAGGUCAAACAUACUGGCAGUCAUGUUGUUUCUCAUAAGCUGGAUGUCAACCUCAAUUUCUCCUCUUUAUCCUUCUCUCCUGGUUUGGAUUUCAAGGUAUACCACCGCAUCUUCCUGCUCCCCUAGUCUGGGUGCAGGUCCUGCAGGUACACCUCGGCGAAGCCCAAGUACAGUAGCAGCAGCACCUCAAAGGUGGCCUCCUCCUCUGACACUGAGGUGGCAUACUUCUCCUUACCCACCUGAAUCACCGAGUACAUGUUGCUUGUACCGUCAGGCUCUUGGUUCUUGGCCCCUGGCCCUAUGCCUGCAACACUGUCACCUGCACGUGGAUUGGGAACCACAUAGCCCCCGGACCUGCUAAGGCCAUUAAGGACAGGAUGGUGAUGCCUCGGCUGACUGACGUGAGAAGAUUGUCAUGACCCAUGGCCUCUACUGCUGUCCUACCAACAGAAACUUCAUAAUGUUGUGCAGGCGUUACCACUACCUAGUUCCAGAACAUUGCCAUCACCCCCAAAAUAAAUCUUGCAUUCAUUAAGCAGUCACCCCUAUUUUC